AUUGAACGCUGGCGGCAGGCCUAACACAUGCAAGUCGAGCGGAUGAAGGGAGCUUGCUCCUGGAUUCAGCGGCGGACGGGUGAGUAAUGCCUAGGAAUCUGUCUGGUAGUGGGGGAUAACGUCCGGAAACGGGCGCUAAUACCGCAUACGUCCUGAGGGAGAAAGUGGGGGAUCUUCGGACCUCACGCUAUCAGAUGAGCCUAGGUCGGAUUAGCUAGUUGGUGGGGUAAAGGCCUACCAAGGCGACGAUCCGUAACUGGUCUGAGAGGAUGAUCAGUCACACUGGAACUGAGACACGGUCCAGACUCCUACGGGAGGCAGCAGUGGGGAAUAUUGGACAAUGGGCGAAAGCCUGAUCCAGCCGUGCCGCGUGUGUGAAGAAGGUCUUCGGAUUGUAAAGCACUUUAAGUUGGGAGGAAGGGCAGUAAGUUAAUACCUUGCUGCUUUGACGUUACCAACAGAAUAAGCACCGGCUAACUUCGUG
rnacentral:rRNA from 1 species